UUGUGGGGCUUAAGGCCUGUGAAUUAUCAGCAACAAGAAUGAUUGUUCAGACAUAGUUUCAAAGUAGUGCUGAUGGCAUAAUAAAGUUUCCUUCGCCAGGGUACAAGGCAAAUGCAUUCUGUUGUGGAUUAUAAAAAUAAAGCAGCGAGUAGGUAAAUACCUUCUCAUGUGAAAGUUGGAACAUAUCACUUGAAGACUGAAGUGCAGGGAGUGGAGAACCAGUUGCAUGGCACACAAAGGUGUCCUCCUGCCCAUUCAGACUGGGAGAAAAGUUUUGGAACACCUUUCACUACUGGCUUCCAGCAUCUCUUACCUCAGCUCUGAAACUUCUGAAACAUCUUGCACAGACACAGAACAACCCAAUUGUGUGGAGUCACAGAGGACCACUAGAAGA